rnacentral:misc_RNA from 1 species
UGUUGAGAACCUGGAAG